UUUCUCCUUCAUUUUUCCCGUGGAUGCACCUUCAAAUGGACAGUGAAUGAGCCUCCAACUUUGACUCUCAGCGUCUUCUCCAAUCUCCCUCUCCGUUCAUCGUCGGUCAUCGUGUAAGUGCUGGAGCUUCCUUCCUUUGUCCUCCUCUGCUCAAGUAAGCUGUAAGUGUGUGACAAAAUCUCCCUCCUCUGUUGUGCUAUCGUCGAUCCCUGCUGGGGGGUCCUGACGAACUCAUCUCCUUCUUACUGUCGACAUCGAAGACUAUGGUAGUUGAAAAUCCUUCCUGUCAUCACUCAUCUUCACGUAUAUCUCCUCUAUGGUGCAUUGCUAUGGGGUCGUUGCUGUUGGUCAUCUCCUCUAUUCGUUCCGGGGGAUGGAAUGCAUCGGACCUUCUUCAUCUUCUUCCUCCUCCAUGGCCGUGCGACUUAAGCUUCCUCUUCUUGGUUUAUCUACCAUUAACGGGGAGAAAGAUCUAUGCUAAGAAGACCAAUGCCUGUGGUAAUGCCAAGAAGAAUGCUCCUAAUGCUAGCUCUUGAGCGACCUCUGCUGCAAAACAUGAGAAGUCCAUUAAGUUGGAGAAGAUGUAGAUAUUUAAUCUACAUUUGUUAGGAUCUAAAUCUAUUGUUUUUAUGUUGUACUUGGUGUUGUCAUCUUUAUCGCUGGAAUUAUAUGGCUUUAUCUUGGGACCUUAAUAAAUUGUUGCAUGCUUUAAGUCAUGUGUGGUAUGUUCAUGCCACCAUGUUAGGUUUCAUGUGUUAAAUCGCUUACUUUUAUCUAUCUAGUAUGUGCUGUAAUCCCUCAAACUUAAGUCUAAGCUUAAUCCUUUGAUCCUGUAAGUCAUUAGUGGUGUGUUAAAUACCACUAUCCUAUGUUUAAUGUUUAAUAUUUCAUGUUUUCCUUA